GGUCCAUUCCCCCUAGUGAACAGCGGAUCACACUCCCAUUUUCACCGGCUGCUGCUGCGCUCCACAAAUGCAACAUGGAUCAUUUGCAGUGACUGGCAGCCUUACCUGCUUCUAGAGCUCAGAGAAAGGCUUACAAAAAGUCAUUCUGAUCGGCAGUGUGUUCCACGCUCGGGCUAAAAGAAGCUGUAAGGGAUUUGCACCAACAGCGAUUGACUAGAAACGCUGUGACUGACUUCUGGAUUUGUCCUGGGCUGAGUUUAAGGAAUGUCUGACAGGGAGGGAGGGAAAACACGCUCGAGAUGUGAUCCAAGUUAGUCAGAAGAAGGCAGUGCUGGUAAGAAAGCCCUGCGACAGACCGACCUAGGAUGGGACGGAGGAUAGCUACAUUUGUUCCCCUAUUCCUCCUCUAAAGUUGCCCUUUUGUCUCGGAGCACAGCACUACAUAUCCAUUCAUCCUCUUCAAGGCGUGGGUGGCCUCAUAGCUUCUGCGGCUGAUUUCAGACUCCUCUUGCCCUUAUCUUUUCAGUCAUAUUCAAGUAUCUUUUCAGGAAGCUGCAAGGGACCAUGAGUGGAUUCAUCGUCCCAGAUUGGCCUAUGAAAAGUUCCAGUGUUCUUAAAAAAGGCAACCAAAGUAACAGAAGAGAAGCAAGAGCAAAGACUUCUGUAAUCUCUCAUGGUCUUGGCUAGCAAGACAAAGGAGGUGUUUUUAUUUUACUGUCAAAAUACACUGAGCCACCAGAUUGUUCUCCUUUAGAUAUUUUUGAAGUGUUCAAACAUUUAAAUUGAACAAUUUUAUAUAUUAUAUGCAAAAGUUACAUUAA